rnacentral:lncRNA from 1 species
GUCAUGUUCAAAGCUUCCAGGAUUAUUGGUCAAAUUUUAUGUACCAUUGGCUCAGCAUCUUUUGUUUUAUUGAUUUACUCUCUCCAAAGGAUCUGUAAAUUAUUGGUAGAUUUGGUUCUCAGUUUCCUGGGGAACGCUGGCAGUCAGAGGACUGCUUUUUUUUUUGUUUUUUGUCCAGCCUUUUCAAGAAAUACAGGAAUACGUGUAAUGUUAGUCAUCAAGAUUAUGAACUUGCUUGAGUGAGAAGGGCCUGGGUUCGAUUCCGAGCUCGGGCAGCCGGGGUAAAUUCCUGAUGAUUCGGUGGGGCCCGCUCUCUCAGGCGCAGUGGGAUUAGUUGGGGUUAAUGGCGGUGUCAGGUAUCCAGUCCCAGACCGCUACCCCCAGAUACCCCUGUGUUGACAAAAAAAAAAAAAAAAAAGAUUAUGAACUUGCUUUUUAGUAUGUUCCCUUGAUGCGAUUCAUUUGUGAGAAAGUUUUGUGGACA